CAAAUCGCGCACAAAUCGGAUCAAUCCGACGGCGGCGACGCGAGGAACGAUUCUUCCCAAAGCACCGCUCGGGUUCGGGGCCGGGAAACGGCCCAAAACGGGCCCAAACCAGCUGGAAACCCAUUUCGUGGGUCUGCUGGAAUGGCUGGAAAAACACACAAACAGCAACCUACAACCACGGCAAGGGCGGCAAGGCGCGGGGGAAGGCCGGUGGAGGUCCGGCGGCUUCAAAUGGCGGCCGGAGGUGGCCGGACGGGGUGGAACGAAGGCUGAGCAGAGGCCAAACGGCCUGAACGGCGCACGGCGGGGAUGGCGAGGCGCGAAGGAGACGGGUGGCUGAACGCACGGCGUCGCACGGGUGGUGCGGACGGUGGCUCGACGGCGACGGCGAGCUGCUUCGGCGAGCUACUGCGUUUUUGCCGUCUUCGGUUCGGCUUCUGUUUCGCUUCUGGUUCUCACGAACAGGAGGGGAAGAAGAAAGGAGUUGGUUCGGUCACGUGGGGGAAAAUGGGGGAGAAGAGAGAGGAGAGAGAAGAAGAGAGAAAGAAGGGAUAAGAAGAAGGGUUUUCUUUUUGACUAGUCAAAGGUAGAAACAAAAGAGAGAGAAGCCAAUUUAAAAUUGGCAAGGGGGCAUUCGGUGGGUGGGGAUGCUCGCACGAAGGGGAGAGGGGAGGAGAAAGAGAAAAGAGAGAGAGAGAAAAGGAAGAGAGAAAAAGGGGGAGAGAGAAAAAGAAAAGAAAAGAAUACAACUAUUCUCAUUUUUCUUUUCUCUUUCUAUUUCCCUUUCUAUUUUCUUCCGGUCUUCAAAUCUUCCUCCGAUAAUUUCUUUCUUGAAAUUUCGGACUCGGCAAUAAAUUGAUAGACGAUGAGACGGUCCUAAAAAUGAAUUGUGACACGUCCGAAUAUUCGAUUCCCAAAACCGAAUUAAAUUUCAUGAUUAAAAUCGACCGGACGCGAUUUUAGUCCAAUCCAACCAAUUAGGUAGCUUUUAGGGAUUUUACCGCGGUUAUAUCCCUUAACGGCUUCACCCAAUAGGUUAGCUAACUCGUGAGUGAUCAGCUCAGAGAAAAAGGACCAUAGGCACGCCGACGAUAUGCACAUUUCACUUUAUCGAAACGGGGUCGAAUUUCAGGAUGUCACAACUCUUCCCCUCUUAUAAAAAUUUCGUCCUCGAAAUUUAAACCCUUACACACUUUGCUCAAAAAGGUGGGGGUAUAAUUGUCUCAUCGACUCUUCAGUCUCCCAAGUCGCUCCUUCUGCACCGUGGUGUUGCCAGACCACUUUGACCAACGGAAUGGUCUUUGUACAUAGAACUUGCUCUUUGCGAUCGACAAUUUGAGCCGGGCUUUCCACGUAUGACACACGGUCAUCCACGUCCAAUUCCUCGAAAUUGAGCACGUGGGUCGAGUCAGGCUCGUACUUCCUUAACCUCGACACGUGAAAGACGCCAUACACUUGCGCCAAACUUGGCGGCAACGCAAGACGAUACGCUAGGUUUCCGAUUCUUUCAAGAAUCUCAAACGGACCUACGUACCUCGGACUCAGCUUGCCUUUCUUACCAAAGCGCGAAGUUCCCCUCAUUAGUGACACUUUCAGAAAAACGUGAUCACCAACUUGGAAUUCCAAAGACCUUCGACGCUUAUCUGCAUAACUUUUCUGCCUGCUCUGCGCUGUCUUCAAUCUGUCUCUGAUCACUGCCACGGCAUCUACUGAUUGCUGAACCAACUCUGGGCCUGAUAUCUUCCUUUCUCCGACUUCAUCCCAACACACUGGAGUUCUGCAUGCUCUGCCAUACAACGCUUCAAAAGGAGCCAUCUUGAUGCUCUGCUGAUAACUGUUGUUGUAGGCGAAUUCCACCAAAUGAAGCUGAUCCUCCCAACUUCCUUUGAAGUCUAUUACACACGCUCUCAGCAUGUCUUCAAGAGUCUGAAUCGUCCUUUCAGACUGGCCAUCCGUCUGAGGAUGAUACGCCGUACUGUACUGAAGCUUUGUACCUAAAGCACUCUGCAAGCUCUUCCAAAAGCAGCAGUAAACCUUGGGUCUCUAUCAGAUGUUAUCGUAACUGGCACUCCAUGCAUACGAACCACCUGACGCACAUACAGGUCUGCGUGUCUAUCUAGACUUAGAUCCUUUCGAACUGCAAUGAAGUGAGUCAACUUUGUCAGCUUGUCGACUACUACCCAAAUCGAAUCAUUCCCCCUCUGACUCCUUGGUAGUCCAGUCACGAAGUCCAUCGUGAUAUGCUCCCAUUUCCAUUCUGGGAUCGCAAAAGGUAGCAGAAGUCCUCCCGACUUGCAAUGCUGGACUUUUACUUGCUGACAAGUCAAACACUUGACCAUAUGCUUGGCGACAUCCGCCUUCAUACUUGACCACCAGUAGUGUUGACGCAAAUUCUGAUACAUCUUAGUGCUUCCAGGAUGAAUGUUGUAAUUGCUACGAUGUGCCUUAGAUAAAAUUCAUUCUCUAAGCUCAACAUCGUCAGGUACAACCAAACAUCCUUGGAACCUUAGAGUCCCAUCAUUAGAAACUUGAAAAUCAGAUUUUCUUUUCUCGGUAUCCUCUUGAAGAAUUCUCUGUACGUCUGGAUCUGUCGGUUGAAGUUGCUUGAUUCUGACCUGGACAUCCGGUUCAAUUCUGAGGGUGGCCAUAAAACUCGAAAGGUGGCCUACCUCAAAUUUGAAUUCCGAAUCUCGAGCUCUCUCGAUUAAGUUCCACUCCUUAAUCAAAAUUUGCGCUAUUGAAGACUUCCUACUCAAUGCAUCGGCAACCUUAUUUGCCUUUCCCGGGUGAUAUAAAAUAUCACAGUCAUAAUCCUUCAACAAUUCCAUCCAUCGACGCUGUCUCAUGUUCAACUCUUUCUGAGAGAACAAAUACUUGAGACUCUGAUGGUCUGUGAAAAUCUGAAACUUCUCUCCACACAAGUAAUGCCUCCAAAUCUUCAACGCAAAUAUGAUGGCUACGAGUUCUAAGUCAUGCGUCGGGAAAUUCAAUUCAUGAGGUCUCAACUGCCGGGAAGCGUAUACAAUAACUCUGCCAUGUUGCAUCAGCACGCAACCCAAUCCCCUGAAUGACGCAUCACUGUAGAUCUCGAAUCCUCCAGGACCAGAUGGAAUCGUCAGUACAGGUGCGGUAGUCAGCUUUUCCUUCAGCUCUUGGAAACUACGCUCGCACUUUUUUGACCAUACAAAUUUCUCAUUUUUCUUUGUGAGCUGUGUCAGAGGCGACGCUAUCGACGAGAACCCUUCCACAAACCGUCUGUAAUAACCUGCUAACCCCAGAAAACUUCUGAUUUCUGACACUGAUGUCGGUCUCUGCCAAUUGAUUACGGCUUCUAUUUUGCUCGGGUCGACGGAGAUUCCUUCUCCGGAAAUCACAUGACCUAAAAACGCAACACGAGCCAACCAAAACUCGCAUUUGCUAGACUUAGCAUACAUGUGAUGAGUUCUUAAGGUCUGAAGCACUAAUCCCAGAUGAUUCUCAUGCUCUUCAUCACUUCUCGAAUAGACUAAGAUGUCAUCACUGAACACAAUCACAAACUGAUGAUCCACAUAUUCCUUGAACGUUCUGUUUGUCAAAUCCAUGACAACAAUUGGAGUGUUCACCAAGCCAAACGAUCUUACAAUACUCUCGUAAAGACCAUAUCAAGUACAAACAGCUGUCUUUCAUACAACCUCCUUCUUGGUUUGUAACUAACGACUUCAUAAUCUCAAGUCGACCUUUAAAACAUCGAUACUCUUUAUAACUAGUCACACCAUUCAUGGAUCUUUGGCAAAGAACACUUGUCCUUGAUCUUCACUCAAUUGAGUUAACGAUAGUUGAUACACACUCGCAAUAAACCAUCUUUCUUCUUCUCACAAACAAAACUGACGUUUCCCCAAAGUGAUGCACUGAUAUGCACAAUUUCCUCAAUCAUCAAUCUUCACAUGUGCAUCUUCAAUUCCUUCAACUCAAAUGACGCCAUUCGAUAAGGUGCCUUUGAAAUCGGUUCUGUCCCUGGUGCUAGCUCAAUUACAUUUUCAAUCUCUCUUUCUAGCAGUAACCCAAGCAAUUCCUUUGGAACUAUCUUAGAAAUUUUCUGUAUCACGGCCACCUUCUUCUCAUUCUAUUUCUCAACUGACACAUCCACUACAGCUGUCAAAUCAAUCUUGGCAACCUCCGUCUAACAAACGGAUUGUCUUUAGCCAAUGAGAUUAAUGAAAUCGAAGAUUCCUUUCGACUCUUAAUAAUCUUGAUAUUUUCGCAAACUAAUAGACUAAACUAGAUUAUUCCAUGACCAGGAUUCAUUAUCACAAGAUGCUCUAUGAACUCACUAUUCAUGUGGCGUCAAACUCACACCUCAGCAACUAGUCAAGCACAACUAUUGCUAGUGAUUCCCUUCUCUUUCACUUUUACUUCCACAAGUUACUCUAAUAAGAUCACCUCCAACACAUUCUUUCUCUAAUCGGUGCAAGGUCCAUUUUACUCCCAUUCCUUCCUGGCCGCAGUAGCGAUGCCUAUGCUACCUUGGACUUCCACUGACAAUCCUUCACCUGAUGGCCAUGCUAGUCAUCAUCACAACAUGUUCUAGUCAUACUCGGACAUUGGAUUUAUCCAUGCUUCCUUCUACCACUCCGACACCUACCUGGUGCAUCUUCUAUCUUCUAUUAGGCGAAAGCAUGCACUCUUUCUGGUUGCCCCAUCAUUCUGUUAGGACCAAUCCUGACCAGAUAUCCCUGUUGGAUAUACUCCAAACAAAUUCGCGUCCUUGGAAGGACAUAAUGCCGAUCUCCAUCAUCACGUCCGAAAACAACCUGAUCUAUUUGACUCGGUGCCGACUUGACUACUCCAUCCUUCCUCGUGAGUGGAAUAGGAUGCUUUUCUCUCGACCUCGGUCUUUUCCCUGACCGAUUUCCAUUUCUGCCUGAACUGGAUCUAUACCUCAACUCGAAUGCAAUGACUCGCUCCUGGAUCACAUCUCCACUUUGAAUCUCAGCAUGCAAGGCGACAACAACGGUUGCGACACUGACGGCGGCUCGAUCUUAUGCCUGCUGGCUCUUCCAAUUCCCAAGGAACACUGGCAUCAGAACGAUCCUAUCGAACUUAGGAUCAUUCGACGCUGCUACACUAGUACCAACCUGCGGUGGUACUCUUACACUCGAGCUGGCCAGAGCCAACACUCUGCCACAACCACCUCGGGUACUGACCUUUGUCAGUGCAUCAUCCCGAGUCACAGAGGACAUUGUCCUCUCACUAGGAGUUCUCAGCUCCUACUCGCUCAUGGUUCAGUCUUACACUGCAACCCGUCUUCCAAACCCACACUGGAUUAGAAGGUGAGCGAUCCACACGCCACAAACAAUUCUAGCAUUCAGCUAACACAGACAUGCACCAGCACGAAUUUAAAGGCCUUUCCUACUAACUAUCCCAUGGUCAACGCUCCUUAUCACUCCAAUCUUCAACCUCGCUCUGAUACCACUUAAACUGGAUGUCACGCCCCGAUCCUCGGGCACGCACACAUCCUUCUACCUUGGUCGAUUUUAUAAUGCGAUAUCCCAGGACAACGUAUCGCCGACCCUUUCAUUUUUAAGCACAUGCGGAAGCAAUUAAAAUCCCCAGACAAUAAAACGAUGGGAUAGAAAAGCAGGGCCAUAUUUUUCAUAUUGAAAUUUAUAACCACACUUUUAUACAAACCACAAACCCUUUCAUUACUACUCACAUCAAAACGGAGAUCUCAAAAGAAGACAUAAACUUAGAUGAACUAGGCCGUACUCAAGGCCUCUCUCAGAAUUGUCUUCUUCUUCCAAAAAUCCUUUUCUUCAGAUCUCACCUCCGAGUUCUCCUUCUCGGAUUCCUCCUCCUCAGCUCUUCAGCGGGGUCCUGAAAUGGUUUUCCCCAAACUGGGAUGAGACUACGUCUCAGCGAGUUCUACCCCACUAAGCCCGAUUAGAUAAACUAUUAUACUAAAGGCUGCCUAAACACGCACAAGGCAGAGGACUUACCUUGGCCUCAGAUCUCACCUGCAAGUCAGUACAAUUCAUAAUAGGCACCCAAGCAAUCAUAUCUCCGAUCGAAGCAUCGAUCAAAUCGACCUAGUCGAUUAUAUUCCAACAAGACCUCUAACGGUCAUUUCCAUUCAGUCAAUCAAUUCACAACAUCAAAUCAAAGCAUCGACCUAGUCGAUUACAUGCCAAACAAAUCAAUCCCCACUGUGGGAUAUUUAAAACUAGGCCACGUGCAUUCUCCAGGAUGACCUUCCAAGUCUCCGAGCCACGUGCCUCAAACCUCGGACCCACGUGCAUUCUCUAAGGCGACCUCUUCGCCAAGGUGGUACAUCAAGCCACCGAGCCACGUGUCCUUUUUACGAUGCCCGGGCUCACGUGCAUUCUCUAAGGUGCUAUCUCACCAAGGUGAUGCAUCAAUUCACCGAGCCACGUGCCCUUUUAGAUGCCAUUCCGGAAUGCUGGACCCACGUGCAUUCUCUAAGGUACUCGCUUACCAAAGUGACGCAUCAGAUCACCGAGCCACGUGUCCUUUUAGAUGCUAAAUCCUGUCACCGAGCCACGUGCAUUCUCCAGGACGACAUACCGAGUCUCCGAGCCACGUGCAUUCUCUCAGGCGACCUCUUCGCCAAGGUGACAUAUUCAACCACUGAACUCACGUGCAUUUUUCAGGUGACAUUCCAAUUCACCGAGCCACGUGUCCUCUUUGCAGUGGUUACCAGUUCACUUUCAAUAUCGACAACCAAUGCCCAACGAUUCCUCAAUCAAAUAAAUAAAUCAACUCAACAAAACAUUAUAAAUGCUGAAUAAACAUACUUGGCCAUUCACCAAUCAAUACUCAAUCAAAUAAUUAAAUUAACUCAACAAAGCAUUAUAAAUGCUGAAUAAACAUACUUGGCCAUUCACCAAUCGAUAAUUCAAUCUCAAUCGAUUCCAAUAAAUUUAGGGUAAAUCCCUAAAAUAUCACAAUUUACUCAAUUCCAUACAACGUGGAGCUCAAAUAAUAAACGGACUGCACCACGAUGAUCAGCACGAGAUUUCGGUCGUCGGCCAUCAAAAUCUUAAUUUCCGAAAAAUAAUUAAUUUAUUUAUUAAUUUCGAAAAUUAAAUAAUUAUUAUUAAAAAUUCAAUUUAGCUCAAAAUAAAGCCCGAUUACAUAAACGGACUUCACCACGGUCAUCAGCACAAUAUUCCGGUCCCGAGCCACCUCAGUUGAAUUUUUGGAAAAUAAAUAAUUAUUUAAUUUAAUUCCGAAAAUUAAUAUUUAAAUACUAAAAAUAUCCACUUAGGCCCGAAAAGCCUAAUUGGAGCCCACUAAGGGUCGGGAAAAAUCCCGAGGCACUUCCAAUAAUUAGUAGACCACGUCUACUUGCUAAUUACACAAUCAAUUUAUCUAAAUCACAUCACAAUUGACUAAUAAUUGCUAAUUUAUUCUAAUCUAACAACCUAAACAUAAUUAAUUAAAUCUAAACCAGCUUAAAGCAUAAUUAGCCACUAAUCCUGGAUUAGUGAGAUUACUCACCAAAUCGCGCACAAAUCGGAUCAAUCCGACGGCGGCGACGCGAGGAACGAUUCUUCCCAAAGCACCGCUCGGGUUCGGGGCCGGGAAACGGCCCAAAACGGGCCCAAACCAGCUGGAAACCCAUUUCGUGGGUCUGCUGGAAUGGCUGGAAAAACACACAAACAGCAACCUACAACCACGGCAAGGGCGGCAAGGCGCGGGGGAAGGCCGGUGGAGGUCCGGCGGCUUCAAAUGGCGGCCGGAGGUGGCCGGACGGGGUGGAACGAAGGCUGAGCAGAGGCCAAACGGC
rnacentral:lncRNA from 1 species